rnacentral:sRNA from 1 species
AUUAUCUCUGUAAAGAGCCUGUCUACAAAUACAGUCACCUUCUGAGGUCCUGGGGGUUAGGACUUCAGUGUAUGGAUUUUGAGGACACAAUUUAGCCCCUAACACCUCUAAAGUUAGGGGCUAAUGCUCUAUCAUGUUGCCAUGGAGGAGGCUGAUAGGUGUGAGGGGGCUGGGGCCGAUUGCCCUGUGUGGGGUGGGCAGGGCUGGGGUGUGUGCUGGGAUGGUUACUGACAUCCCACCGGGGUUAGCACUGGAGGGAGCUGGUUGGCUGGUGACUGUUGCCUGCUGGCUCUGUCUCCUGGAGCUGAGCUUACUGGUGGGAUGCCCGCUCCGAGAAGCACCCUUCUUCUCUUCUUAGGAGACUCUGGACCCCCUUCUCCAGGUUUCUCUCCCUUUAGAGGCACAUUUUCCUCCAAGCCUUCAAGCCCCUUCUCUUUCUCCGGAUGUGGAUGAUGGGGAAGGGUAUCUUGAGAAAGUUCGUCUUUAAAUCUCUGGAGACCUGAAGGGAAACAGCCAGGGAGCCUUUGGUCAGACAGGUGGUGCGAUGGCACAGUGCCCAGCGAGGGGCAGAGGCUGAGAGGAGCCUACAAGCAUCUCCUGGAGAGUCCUUCUUGCCUGCCUCCUGGAUCCCUUGUUCCCACCCUGCUUUGCCCUGCUCCUUGCCAGAGCUCACUAGGGGAUCAGGGUGGGGACUUCGUGCGUGCCAAAAGCUCAGACCCGUGUGGUGUUUUCCUGCAGCUGAAGAGCAAGUGGGAUGAGUCCAUCUUCACGAAAGGCUGCAUCCAGGCGCUGGAAAGCUGGCUCCCGCGGAACAUUUACAUUGUGGCUGGCGUCUUCAUCGCCAUCUCGCUGUUGCAGAUAUUUGGCAUCUUCCUGGCAAGGACCCUGAUCUCAGACAUCGAGGCAGUGAAGGCCGGCCAUCACUUCUGAGGAGCAGAGUUGAGGGAGCCGAGCUGAGCCACGCUGGGAGGCCAGAGCCUUUCUCUGCCGUCAGCCCUACGUCCAGAGGGAGAGGAGCCGACACCCCCAGAGCCAGUGCCCCAUCUUCAGCAUCAGCGUGACGUGACCUCUCUGUUUCUGCUUGCUGGUGCUGAAGACCAAGGGUCCCCCUUGUUACCUGCCCAAACUUGUGACUGUAUCCCUCUGGAGUCUACCCAGAGACAGAGAAUGUGUCUUUAUGUGGGAGUGGUGACUCUGAAAGACAGAGAGGGCUCCUGUGGCUGCCAGGAGGGCUUGACUCAGUCCCCCUGCAGCUCAAGCAUGUCUGCAGGACACCCUGGUCCCCUCUCCACUGGCAUCCAGACAUCUGCUUUGGGUCAUCCACAUCUGUGAGUGGGCUGUGGGUAGAGGGACCCACAGGCGUGGACAGGGCAUCUCUCUCCAUCAAGCGAAGCAGCAUGGGGGCCUGCCCGUAACGGGAGGCGGACGUGGCCCUGCUGGGCCUCUGAGUGCCAGCGCAGUCUGCUGGGACAUGCACAUAUCGGGUUGUUUGCAGGAUCCUCAGCCAUGUUCAAGUGAAGUAAGCCUGAGCCAGUGCGUGGACUGGUGCCACGGGAGUGCCUUGUCCACUGUCCCUCUGUGUCCACCAGCUAUUCUCCUGGCGCCAGAACUGCCUCUGAUCUUGAUAGCAUUAAGCCCUGAUGGCGCCGGUGGGGCGGUGGGCAUGGUUCUUCACUGAGAGCCGGCUCUCCUUUUCUUAAAGUGUGUAAAUAGUUUAUUUAUAGGGGUAAGAAUGUUCUCACACCAUUUCACUUCCUCUUCCUCUCCUCCAGCUUUCUCCUCUGAGCAGCCUUAGAUAGUGUCCAUUGCUGGAGCCGACCCUUUGAGUCCCCUUGAGAGUCUUAAGAACCAGCCCACAACAGCCUCUCUUUUCCCCUCCACAUACUGCAGCCUCCCUCCAUGCAUCCCACAUACAAGCACUCCCCCACUCCCCAGCGUGGCCUCACUGUCUUCUGGUCUUGGUGCUACUGAAAUUGUCGCCCAGAAUUUGAAUCCUGACCCUCCCCACUGCAAGCCCAGGGAGCCCCAGCCCAAGAUGGCCAGCCUGAAACUGUUGGCCAGGGCUCCUCUUGUGGCCAUGUACCCAGGGCUGGCUGGCCUGCCAUUUGCCACUCCCCGGAGACAGCCGUUCUUCUGCAACCACGCCCCGUGCCUAGCCACAACCCCAGGCUGCAGCUGCUCAGACGCUCCAGGCGUUUUGUUUCUGGUGACCGCCCCUAAUGGGAUAUCGGUGAUCACUGGUCCACCCUUCCUGUCAGGGCUUUUCUGGGGCUGCUCUUGGAAAUGAAGUCUUAAGUACUGAAUAACUCUCCUGGGGAUAACUGGGGCAUUUGUCUAGCUGGGCUACUUUCUAACACUGCCAUAGCUCGGACCACUUCUCAUCGUUCAGGGAUCGAGUGCAACCUUCAGUUACUUGCCGGAGUGUACAUUCUAGUGUGGUGUAUACUGGUGGCUAUUUGUUGCUGAUGAUAUUAUCUUUUUUUUUUUUUUUUUAAUUCUCUGUAGACUAGGAGAAGAAGAAUGCUUGUGUUUUUCGGAAGUGUGAUGCUUCUCUUUGACUUCCAAAUUCUUUUAUGGAAUAUAUCUUUAUAUUAAUGCUG